UACGUAGGCGGCGCUGUUAGUCGGGUGUGAAAUCCCACGGCUCAACCGUGGAAUUGCGCCCGAUACUGCAGUGCUUGAGGGAGACAGAGGUAAGCGGAACUGAUGGUGGAGCGGUGAAAUGCGUUGAUAUCAUCAGGAACACCGGUGGCGAAAGCGGCUUACUGGGUCUCUUCUGACGCUGAGGUACGAAAGCUAGGGGAGCGAAGG
rnacentral:rRNA from 1 species